AGCGAACGCUGGCGGCAGGCCUAACACAUGCAAGUCGAACGAAGUCUUCGGACUUAGUGGCGGACGGGUGAGUAACACGUGGGAACGUGCCUUUAGGUUCGGAAUAACUCAGGGAAACUUGUGCUAAUACCGAAUGUGCCCUUCGGGGGAAAGAUUUAUCGCCUUUAGAGCGGCCCGCGUCUGAUUAGCUAGUUGGUGCGGUAAAGGCUCACCAAGGCGACGAUCAGUAGCUGGUCUGAGAGGAUGAUCAGCCACAUUGGGACUGAGACACGGCCCAAACUCCUACGGGAAGCAGCAGUGGGGAAUCUUGCGCAAUGGGCGAAAGCCUGACGCAGCCAUGCCGCGUGAAUGAUGAAGGUCUUAGGAUUGUAAAAUUCUUUCACCGGGGACGAUAAUGACGGUACCCGGAGAAGAAGCCCCGGCUAACUUCGUGCCAGCCGCCGCGGUAAUAC
rnacentral:rRNA from 1 species